UACGUAGGGUGCGAGCGUUAAUCGGAAUUACUGGGCGUAAAGCGUGCGCAGGCGGUUUUGUAAGUCCGCUGUGAAAUCCCCGGGCUCAACCUGGGAACUGCAUUUGUGACUGCAUAGCUAGAGUACGGUAGAGGGGGAUGGAAUUCCGCGUGUAGCAGUGAAAUGCGUAGAUAUGCGGAGGAACACCGAUGGCGAAGGCAAUCCCCUGGACCGGUACUGACGCUCAUGCACGAAAGCGUGGGGAGCAAACAGG
rnacentral:rRNA from 1 species